rnacentral:rRNA from 1 species
GACGAACGCUGGCGGCGUGCCUAAUACAUGCAAGUAGAACGCUGAAGGAGGAGCUUGCUUCUCUGGAUGAGUUGCGAACGGGUGAGUAACGCGUAGGUAACCUGCCUGGUAACGGGGGAUAACUAUUGGAAACGAUAGCUAAUACCGCAUAAGAGUAGAUGUUGCAUGACAUUUGCUUAAAAGGUGCAAUUGCAUCACUACCAGAUGGACCUGCGUUGUAUUAGCUAGUUGGCGAGGUAACGGCUCACCAAGGCGACGAUACAUAGCCGACCUGAGAGGGUGAUCGGCCACACUGGGACUGAGACACGGCCCAGACUCCUACGGGAGGCAGCAGUAGGGAAUCUUCGGCAAUGGACGGAAGUCUAACCGAGCAACGCCGCGUGAGUGAAGAAGGUUUUCGGAUCGUAAAGCUCUGUUGUAAGAGAAGAACGAGU